UACGUAGGUGGCAAGCGUUGUCCGGAAUUAUUGGGCGUAAAGCGCGCGCAGGCGGCUUCUUAAGUCUGAUGUGAAAUCUUGCGGCUCAACCGCAAGCGGUCAUUGGAAACUGGGAGGCUUGAGUGCAGAAGAGGAGAGUGGAAUUCCACGUGUAGCGGUGAAAUGCGUAGAGAUGUGGAGGAACACCAGUGGCGAAGGCGGCUCUCUGGUCUGUAACUGGCGCUGAGGCGCGAAAGCGUGGGGAGCAAACAGGAUUAGAUACCCUGGUAGUCCACGCCGUAAACGAUGAGUGCUAAGUGUUAGAGGGUUUCCGCCCUUUAGUGCUGCAGCUAACGCAUUAAGCACUCCGCCUGGGGAGUACGGCCGCAAGGCUGAA
rnacentral:rRNA from 1 species